AGUUCACACAUUUCGAUGCUUCACCGAGGGGUUUGCGAGGAGAGCGCAGCGCUCUUAAUGAGCUCCUUCCAUCAAACUCGCAUCCCUCCUGUCGCCUCGUGUCCAUUCACAUUUGUCACCGAUGCAACCGGCUCUGAGUUCCUCUCAGAUGCCGUGCAGGCGGACAAAUGAAUGGUACUCCGAUGUGAGGACGGCGUUUAAGCGCUUGUCUCUUAGCGGUGCGUUUGUGGAUGAUUGACUCGGAUCUUAAGACGGUUGCACAACCGUUUACCUUCUCAACUUUCAUCCAGUCAUGAACUCGCACUUUCUCUUUUUUCUCUCUUUGUUUGUCUCCGCUCAGAUCUAUAGUAAGUCCAUGUGUGUGUGCUUGAGAGUCGAGGCAUGUGUACUGUGAACAAUGUGCUUAUGAUGGUGAUGAUGAUGGUAAAGCUAAUGAUUAAUGACCACUGAGGUUUGUGUCCUCCGCUCCACUUUCUCUCACUGUAGCACCUUGACCCUUUCGUUCACCAUCCCCACUAUUCAUUCAGCCAGCUGUUUCACUGAGGCCACUCAAAUGAUCUGCGCCUCGGUACGAGCCCGGUCGCUACAGGAGGUGUCGCAGGACCGAGGGGAUAAAUCAUCCCCCAGAGCAGGAGCUGUUGCAGGCCUGGACGCACAUACACCACCCGAGAUUUACGCCGCACAUCGAAGCACAGCCCCACAAUCUGGACCCUCUCCACCAGAAGCUCAUUAAGACUACACGGCGAUUAGUGAUUACAUCACAUGAUUUGUGAGAGCCGAGGAGCUCAUGGGUUGUUGAGCAUGUCCCCUGGUCAGACGUAAGGACAGUUGAGGUAUGAAUCCAGCCACAACGGCCUUUUAUUUCUGCUGGUCUCUGUCUGGCCCGUAGACGGGGAGCGGGGAAUCUGGAUGGACAGCGCUGCCCCCUCGAGUCAAUAGCAGCCAGCAGGUUAGGCUCGCUCUCCGUCUGCUGCGUGGCAGACACUCAUUAGUGGUAAUGUACUCCCAUCAUCCAUCUCCAGGUGGGCUUCCGUCAUUGAUCUCAAGGCCAAGACCUGUCACGAGCUGCACCUCGCCGAAUGAAAGCGCUGGUCGCCGCCAGCUCUGGCUUUAGGUGACCGAGCUCGAUGUUCUGUCGAUAGACUCUGGACAGCCGGUAUUAGAGCAGCGAGGUGACACGCACAGCAGUGUGAGAUGUUUUUCCUCACAAUGCUCUCCAGUACACAAUGAGCCACAGAGGUUCACAAGACUAUGAUCAGAUGACAUCACCAAAUGGGAAGAUUUGCAUCUCUAUUCUCUUUUAAAUGAGCAUGGACUCUUGUAAUACAGUGAAAUAGGAAAAUACUAGUAAUACUAGUUCAUUAAUUAAUACACAAUAUGACAUCGGCCAAUCAAAUGUAUCAAUCGUAUUUCUGUUGACCAUCGUCGUGACAAAAGAUAACAUAGUUUCUGUCGUGAAAACCUUCCA